AGAAGGGGAGGGGAGGGGAGGGGAGGAGAGGAGAGGAAAGGGAAGGGGAGGAGAGAGAAUGAAAAUUAGUUGAGAGCUCAGCCACAUAGGUGCAGGGGUACUGAUACUGACUGACAUGAGGAAUCCUCAAACAUUUUUGUCCUAUAUACCUGUAGUACAGCUGACCAACAUGCAGGUGAUGCCUGUGUGUGACAACCUAAGAUGCCUCUGGUACUGCUUAAAAAACAAAAACAAAAAAGCACAAACAAAAAACAACAACAAAAAAAGCAAAAGCAGCAAAACAAGCCAGGCAUGGUGAUACAUUCCUGUAAUCCUAGCACUCUGAAGGCAGAGGCAGGAGGAUUGUCUCAAGUUUGAGUCCAACUUGAGGUAUAUAAUUGAGUUCCAGGGCAGCCAAAGAUACAUAGGCAGACAAACAAACAAACAAACAGGAAAGUUCUCUUGGUGGUGGGCACGCAGUAUACUUAAGAACUACUGGCUUACAGCUAAUUGGUUUACAAGUCUCCAAAGAUGCCCUACCUCUUUCGUACACAUGCACAUGUGCACAUACACAUGUGCACAAACACAAUCUCAUAUACAAGUGUCACUACUGCUCACAGUUUUGGAAGAAACAUAUUUUAUGUGGGGGUGAUGAGAUGAGACAUGGGUAGGUGGGUCAGAAGGGCAGGGUUUCUAGCUGUCUCCAUGGCAACUGUCCAGGCAGGUCAGGAACAGGCCAGUGUGGGCAGGAGAAGAUAUGGGGGUGGAAAGUCAGCCUGGCAGGGACCCGGGAGAGCAGAGCCCACCCCCCUCCACUGGGCAGGAUAAGCAGUUCUGAACUGGAGCCAGCAAGCAGAGGCAGACUCAGGGUUUCAUCUCAGAGGCUCUCUCUCUUCUCAAAGGGCAUCUUGACAAGGUCCAGGGAGACAGCUCUCCAGAGGCUUGGAGCAAAGGCUGUGUCCAGUGUGUAGGACAGGGACUCCUUCUGGAAACAACCCUUGGGGUGUCAGGAACUUCAAGAAUACAGCCUUGAAUAAGCCCACAUUCCUGUGGGUCUGGGGCUGACCUUCCAGGGAGAGGAGGGAGGUGCUAGACAAACAUGUCACACAUGCUUCAGACUGCUGAGGAGGAACAUUGAGUAGUGACAGUCACAGGGACCUAAUGCAGAGGAGGAGGAAGGAGGGACGUUGGGAUGUAUUCAGGUAAACAUUGUUAGAUGAUUUUAAAAUUUGUUCUGUCCACUGUGCACGUGUGUCUGGUGUGUGUGUGUGUGUGUGUGAGAGAGAGAGAGAGAGAGAGAGAGAGAGAGAGAGAGAGACAGAGAGAGACAGAGAGACAGAGAGAGACAGAGAGACAGAAAGAGAGAGACAGAGAGAGAGAUUGAGAGAGAGAGACAGAGACACAGAGAGAGAGAUUGCCAAGCAAAGUGCUUGAAAGCUGAAGUAGGUAGAUAGCUUUUGGGUGCUGGGGUUCCCCAAGAUUUGGCUUCACCUCUUAUAACUUGAAGUCUCUACUUUUAAAAAAAAAAAAAAAGAAAAAAAGUCUCACUCUGCAAUCCUGUAAGUCACUAUGUAGCCCAUGUUAGCUUCAAAUGGAUGAAUGACUGAAUCUCCUGCUUCAGCUUCCCAAGUGUUGGACUUACAGGUCUAUGGAUGCGCUCCUCUCUCUCUCUAUCUCUCUCUCUCUCUCUCUCUCCUUUCUUCUCUCCUUCUGUUCCCCUCUCCCUUUCCCUUUCCUUCCAUCCCCAUCUCUCUUCCUCUGCCCUCUUCUUUACUUUUUGCUUGGUUUUAUUGUAAUAAAGUCCACUGAACCGAUGCUGGCCCCAAAUUCACUAUAUAACUAAGGCCGACAUUGACCUCUGUCCUUCUGUCUCUACCUCCUGCGUAUAUGUCCACACCUAGCCUUCAACUUUCCCUUUUGGGCCUAGGUUAGACCCCUUCCCAGAACUCCAGCCAAGGAUAUUUCAGUGUUUACUGGGAGCGUGCACAUUGGGUAUUUAAAGGGCACCUUGGAAGUGGGCUUAGCUCACAUGAAGACUUUGAUGACUCAUACAAAAAUUAUAGUCAGAUAUGGUAGCACAAGUUCAUUAUCCUUGUCUGCUUGAGAUGCUGAGGCAGGAAGAUCACAAGCUCAAGACCCACCCAAGUAUAUAGUGAGUUCAAGGCCAGCCCAGUUAGCUUAGCAAGAAAGACCUUUGACUCACAAAGAAAGCCAGACAUGUAGCUCAGUGGGAGAGUAUUUGCACAGCAUGCUUGAGGCUGGGGGUUUAAUCCUCAGUACCACACACAAAUUAAUUGUUACCAUAGGAAUCAGCAAUUCCACUCCUUUGUGUUUACCUCCAAAGAUCUAAAUACAUGUGACCACAAAAAUGCAUGCACAAAAGUCCACUGUAUAUCUAUACAUAUCAGAUUAAAAGCAGAAAAUGAUGCAGAUUUUGGUAAACAGAUGAACAGGUAAACAAAUGUGGUGCAUCCAUACAGCAGGCUAUUACUCAGCCUUGAGGAGGAGUCACACUGACACUACGCAUGCUACAACAUAAGUGAAUCUUAAGGACAUUGUUCUAAGAGGAAGAAGACGGACAUAAAACAUUACACAGUAUAUGAUCUCACUUAUAUGAAAGGGCCACAGUAGUCAAUCCCACGCGGACAGAAAUCCUAUUUAUUACUUAUAUCUUGUAGCUGGAGGGAAGAACAUAAAAGUGAGCAGGCAAGAUGGCUCAGUGGGUAAGGGUGCUUGCUCUACUGGAUUCCCUGGGUUCCAGAUGGUAGAUGGUGGAAAACUGAUUCCCCAAAGUUGUCUUCUCAGGUUUGUAUGUGAACCAUGGCACAGGUAUGUGCACACACACACAAAUGUAGCAGAAUUUUAGCAGAGCCAUUGUAUCUGGCGUUAACUCAGAGCAAUGGCACCCAGGCUCUGAAGUAACCUUUUGCAAACAGUCAGUGGUUGUUAUCCUAGACUUGUUUCUUUGAAGGAGUCUCAGAGCCUUUGCACAACUUAGUCCAGAGACAUAUCGUGCAAACCUGGAAGUCUCUUAUGGCUGAGAAAGCUUAGAUAAUGGUCCCAACAGCACCUAGAUGAGUGAGAGGUUUUGGCAUGCAGAAACUGACUUGCUCAAGGUGCCCUUUGUGUAACAAGAAAGAGGUUCUGCCAAGUGCUUCAGACUUUGGUCCCUGAAAAGCUGAUCCCCCUGCAGCUAAGAAGCCUAAACUCAUCCUGCCCCAUCUCUCUUUCUUUAAUCAGUCAGCCUGAGUAACACACACAUCAACACGCACACAUGGAUUUAAAAUAGAAGAGUGUUCUGGACCUAGAUAGAGAUCAUCACAGAACAUAGGGAAGAUGCCAGACAUUAACACUGCUAAAUGUAAAUUUUAUCUCUGUUUUAUCAGAAUUUUUAAAUUUUUACUUUUGAGACAUUGUCUCACUCUCUGAAGCCUUGGCUGGCCUGGAACUUAUUCUGUAGUCCAGCUUGGCUUGAACUCAGAGAUCUGUCUGCCUCUGCAUCCUAAGCACUGAGUUUAAAGGUGUGGGCCACCAAAUCCAACCAUGCUUUACAAGUCUUUUUCAAAUGGAAGCAGGCACUGUGGCUCCCACUUCAUAUCGUAGCACUUGGGCGGCAGAGGCAGGAGGGGCAAGAAUUUAGAGUCAUUCUUAGCUACAUAGCCAGUGCAAGCUUAAUCCUGGCUACACGAGGCCCUGUCUUUAAAACAAAACAAAACAAAACAAAACAAAACAAAACAAAACAUCAAACAAAUAUGGGCAGAUGACAUCCACAGCUUCCCUGUUCAGACCAUGCCUUAGCUUCUUGCCUCACUUAAGCCAAUCUUUGCUCUGCCUGGAAUGCCUUUGAAUGGCCACCCCUUCUUUCCUUUUCCUCGAGGCCAAUGGUUUUCAACCUUCCCAAUGCUUCGACACUUUAAAAAGUUCCUCAUGUUGUGGUGGCCCAUCCCCCAACAGUAAAAUUAUUUCUUUUGCUAUUUUUUAAAUAAAGUGAUGGUUUUUUUUAUAAACGAAUUAUUUAUUUUAUGCAUGUGAGUACAUGGUAGCUGUCUUCAGACACACCAGAAGAGGGCGUCAGAUCCCAUUACAGAUGGUUGAGAGCUACCAUGUGGUUGCUGGGAAUUGAACUCAAGACCUCUGGAAGAACAGUCAGUGCUCUUAACCACUGAGCCAUCUCUCCAGCCCUCUUUUGCUAUUUUUUUAAAAAAAGGAUGUAUGUAUAUAUGUAUGUAUGUAUGUAUGUAUGUAUGUAUGUAUGUAUGUAUGCAUGUAUGUUCAUACGUAUGUAUGUCUGAAGGCCAGAAGAGGCAUCAGAGCUCAUUAUAAAUGGCUGUGAACCUCCAUGUGGUUGCUGGGAGUUGAACUCAGAAGAGUAGCCAGUGCUCUUAACCUCUGAGCCAUCUUUCCAGUCCUUCUUCUUCUCUGUAAUGUUGUAAAGAUGUCUGUGCUUUGUGGGUAUCUUAGGCGACCCACAAAGGGCUUGAGAGCCACAGGUUGAGAACCACUGCUCUAGACCUUUCUGGGGUCACGCCCAAGAGCUCUCUCCUUUCUUCCCUUAGCAAUUGCUGCUGCCUUGUUUGGCAGAUCUCAGCUAAGCAGUCCUCCACCCCUUCCUUCAGCACCGCUCUCCUAUUAUCUCCGCAAGCCACAAAGCAGCCCCUGACCUGUUGGGGUUCUGCCCUGCUAGAUUUCUUCUGAAGCUCUUGUGUGUUUGUCACAGGAUGCACACACGGCCUUGCUGUGUGCCUCUCAAUGCUUAGACUAGAACUAGAAUGUCCAUGGAGGCGGAUGAUUUGAGCUACAUCUUUGCUGCCUCUCCACAGCCCUCAGACCGGAGCGUGAUGCAUGUAAAUGCUCAGGAAGACAUCUACAUCUUGCAAAAGGGUGAAGCAACUAUGGGAAGUGGAUACUCACAUACCCAGCCCUCAGAUGCGCACCGGCCCCAGUGCAGAUGUGGCCGCUGCCAGCCCUCGCCUGUGUCUCGCGCCGGCUUGGAGCUUGGAGAGGCGCCUCCCCCACCCCACCUGGAGGAGACCCCACUUUCUUCCUCCCACAGACCCUUGUAGCCCCCGUGAUGCCCCCUAAACCCAAUAAUGGUUCGGUCCUCAGUCACAUAAAUGUUUAUUCUCCGA